rnacentral:rRNA from 1 species
UACGUAGGUGGCAAGCGUUGUCCGGAUUUACUGGGUGUAAAGGGCGUGUAGCCGGGCUUACAAGUCAGAUGUGAAAUCCGGGGGCUCAACCCCCGAACUGCAUUUGAAACUGUAGGUCUUGAGUAUCGGAGAGGCAGGCGGAAUUCCUAGUGUAGCGGUGAAAUGCGUAGAUAUUAGGAGGAACACCAGUGGCGAAGGCGGCCUGCUGGACGACAACUGACGGUGAGGCUCGAAAGCGUGGGGAGCAAACAGG